AGACAGACGCGCGGGGUCCUAGGGAAGAGCCCAGGCAGGGGGAAGCCCGUGGGCGGUGAGACCCUCCCGUGCCACGGGCGCAGCGCAGCGCUGGCUGGGGCCGACGGGGCGCACCGGCGGACGGUGAUGAACCCGGAGACCCGGCAGCCAGGCUGGGCUGCAGCAGCCUUUGCCUGGACGUCAGGGUGGAGCCCGGGAAUCGCCCCUGCGCCGGGUGACGGAGGAGAAAGGGGCCCGCAGGAGGCAGGAGGGAGCGCCUGGCACAGGGACCCAGGGACUCGAGCAGGUGGUCCCUGGGGAACGGGGAGUGAGGCCGGAAGGAGAGAAAGCCAAGACCAGGUGCGUUUUGGAAAUUGCUGCUGUGAGCCGCAAGACGUUCGCAGGCUCUGCUGCGAGCCCCCAGGACGUCCCCCGGUGUCCACCUCCGGGCGGCUCUCGCGGCCAGACAAGGAGCCCUGAGGGGCGGCCUCAAGGAGCGCCCAGGCCGCUGAGCUCCCAGGGCGGCACAGAGGGAGCCCGGGGGUCCCCAGCUCUGGCCUCGCCGUCUUGUCUUGCUGGAGCUGCACCCCCACGCAGCCCGGGUUCAUGUGGGGAGCAUUUGGAGCACAGUUCCACCCAAGGUUAACAUCCACUUUCCUCAUGAAAGAGGAACAGAAACCAAGAAUAACCACAAUUUCUGAAGACCUCUUGGAAAUCGGGAAUUCUAGCUUCCCAGUUCCAAGGAUAAAAGUUGGCAAUGAAUCCCUUAAGUGGUGGCCAUGAACACACCUAAAACUUUCAAACGGACACCGAGGAGCCCGCAACGGGUGAGCCUUUGCAAUUUGAAAACAUGAAUAAGAGCACGUCAGGCAGUUCUUGUCUGGGCGGCUGGUCAGGUCCAAUGGGCACAGCCACUUUGUGCAUGGAGGAAACGUCGGAAGUGUCAGGAAGCCCCGCUUUCUUUCUUUCUGCCACAUUUUCUGUGUGAAAUGUUUCUACUGAUUUAAUGCCAGCAGACCUUUCAAAUGGGAAGACGUAUUGGUGUCUUAUUCCACUAAAUUCUAUCUAAAACUUUCUUUACUUCAUGACUCAUCAGAGAUUGAUGAGGGGCCAGGACUCAGCCUUGAAAAAUGGCUAGGCUGGGGCAUCGAGGAGUCCCUGGCUAGGAAGGAGCCUCAAGGCCUCUGAUGCAGGGGCUCCCUGAGGGCUGGGCUGUUGUGGAAAUUGUGCUGGAGAGGAGGACUGAUGCUUAGACCCAGUGGAUCUAAAUCUCUGAAGAAAGGGCCUGGAAAUCCUUGUUUUCAAGCUCCCAGGUAUUUCUGUACACAGCUGGGACCAGGGAAAGAACUCAAGCCCUCAUCUAGAUAAUGCCUUCAUCACAGGGCCGCACCACCCCCUGCCUGACUCUACGGUGUCACCAGCCCUUCUGGUAGAAGGUCCUCCCUGGCACGGAGCUGCAUCUGUCUCCAUUAGCAUUUAACCCUGGGUCCUGGUUCUCUUUCCAGCAGCCAAGAGAAUGAAGCUUUACACUUGGCCUGGAAUUCCUGUCUGUGUGACUUUUUGAUGUCGUCCAUGAAGGCUUUGUGAUUGAUAAAGACUAGUUGUAGCUGUUUCCAUUCUGUAAAUAUGUAUGCAAUGUAUUAAAACCACACACUUAGGAACUCUGGCUUCUCCUAAGUUUUAAAGAUCAACUUACAGAACAUUUUUACUCUAUUAUACACGUUGUUAGUUAAAUAUUCAAGAAGUCUUUGGUUCGUGUUCCCCCUCAUUGAAAUUGAGUCAACUGAAUUUCCUUAAACAAUCAGUCUUAUGUACAAACUUAGUUAGGUUUCUGUUGACACUUCAUGCUACGUUCAUAAAUUUUCUCUGUUUUCCUGUUAAGCAUUUCAAGUGCCCAGGCUGGAAGUAGUACCUGUCCAAGAACCUCCAGCCACUCCAGUGGAUUAAAGAAUUCGACUCUGGGAUGUGGUGAAUCUCAAGUUCUGUUAACACUCAAAAACUUUUUAGACCUUCCAACUAAAAAUCACACUCACAAUUCAAAAUAAAUUACCCAGCUGAAAGAAUGACAGGUUUCCUCCAUCAGUCUCUAAAUUUAUCAAAUUCAUCACCCAAGAUACGCAGACCUGUUUUAAUGCAAAAGUAUUAAGAUGAUGGGAUUGAUUAAGUCCCUCACCUUGUUCUUUAGUUCUAAGCCUUCCAGGAGCUAAGGGAGCACUUACCACCAAGAGAAUGCUUAGCAUCUGAAAGGGGUUGAGUUUGCCAUCCCAGGAGAAUUGGCAUUAACAUCCCAGGAAACCUAAGACUCCAUCUCAGUCGGCUAAGUAUGCAUAUUGGCCAGAGAGUUUUGACCCGGACCUGAACCCCAGGAGGACUGGGACUUUCUUAUAGCAAACCAUGGCCUUUCAGCCACCUCUGCUGCCAGCCAACAUUUCACUGAAGGUUUCCAUUCCUUCCACAAUGCUCAGAUUCUUCUGUGGGGUCAGAGAGAGGAGAAUACCUCUUAUAAGGUCUUGCACAACAUUUCAUCCACUGUUUUCUCUCCUGAGCGCAUGCCAAGUGCAGAGAACUGCAAACCCUACACUAGUAAUGGGUCCCCAUUGUGGAAGCUGCCCCCUGUUGAGGACACCGGCAUCCUUUGAGGUUGCAUAAGCCCACACUGGAGGAGGGGGUGGCUUAUGCAGAAGCUGAGAAGCUGAGGACAAGGCACUUUGAAAGGAGGUUGUCCUCCUUUGGAGCCCUGUUCUUGCCUUUGCAAUGUGAUUUCAACAGUUCCGUGUGUGUGUGUGUGUGUGUGUGUGUGUGUGUGUGUGUGAAGAAUGAUUGUGCUCUUUGGGGCAACAAAACAGAUUAGGGCAAUGCAUCAUGAGGACCUCUUGCCAAGUUACUAACAGAGGAAGUCUGUAUCACUGCAGUGGGAUCUUAGGGUGCCUCCCUGUUUUAUGCCUGGAAAAACAAGCACAACAUGCACAAUUACAAACAAAAAAACUAGGGUUGGCAUUGCCAAAACUUUCACUGAUAACUUCUUUUUCCAGCUGUACUGUUUGUGCACACAUGCAAACAUAUUUGUCCUGUUUGUUUGGAAAUAGGGAUGGAGAUAGAACAUAGAAUGCAAGUAAUGUUAGUUAUCAGCAUUUUGCUCAGUAUUUC
rnacentral:lncRNA from 1 species